AGGAGGAACAACUGCAGUGGCGGGGCCAGCUCUGGAGACCUGGAGUCAGCUCCUGCAGUAACUACUGAGCUCUCCGUCUGCAGGGCCUGGAGGCUCCAGGGCGGG
rnacentral:pre_miRNA from 1 species